UACGAAGGGGGCUAGCGUUGCUCGGAAUCACUGGGCGUAAAGCGCACGUAGGCGGACUCUUAAGUCGGUGGUGAAAUCCUGGAGCUCAACUCCAGGAACUGCCUUCGAUACUGAGAGUCUCGAGUCCGAGAGAGGUGAGUGGAACUGCGAGUGUAGAGGUGAAAUUCGUAGAUAUUCGCAAGAACACCAGUGGCGAAGGCGGCUCACUGGCUCGGUACUGACGCUGAGGUGGCGAAAGCGUGGGGAGCAAACAGGG
rnacentral:rRNA from 1 species